UAGGGAAUCUUCCGCAAUGGGCGAAAGCCUGACGGAGCAACGCCGCGUGAGUGAUGAAGGUCUUAGGAUCGUAAAACUCUGUUAUUAGGGAAGAACAAAUGUGUAAGUAACUAUGCACGUCUUGACGGUACCUAAUCAGAAAGCCACUGCUAACUACGUGCCAGUAUCCGCGGUAAUACGUAGGUGGCAAGCGUUAUCCGGUAUUAUUUGGCGUAAAGCGCGCGUAGGCGGUUUUUUAAGUAUGAUGUGAAAGCCCACGGCUCAACCGUGGGGGGUCAUUGGAAACUGGAAAACUUGAGUACAGAAGAGGAAAGGGGAAUUACAAGUAUAGCGAUACAAUGCGCAGAGAUAUGGAGGAACACCAGUGGCAAAGGAGACUUUAUGGUCUGUAACUGACGCUGAUGUGCGAAAGCGUGGGGAUCAAACAGG
rnacentral:rRNA from 1 species